GCCUUCAAAUUUCUGGGCUGACCUUGCUGUCACUCCUAAUCUUGUCAUAUUCCUUGAUGAGUGACAGUUGAAGUAUGCAGUGCCUGUAAUAAAAGCAUGGCUUCAAAGAAAUGUUAACAUCCUUGAAGGGCAAGGUAGCCAAGCUCACUACGGUUGAAGCCAUUGCUGCCUGGUGGUGCUGGUCCUUAACCUCAGCACUCUCCUCCCAGGAGUUUCUCUCCACUGUUUCCACU